rnacentral:lncRNA from 1 species
AUACUGUCAUGCCUCAAAUCCUAUUGGGGCGGACUAGCACCCGUAACCGAGGAGGUCCGAAAGAACCAGCUCAUAACCUUAUACUUCCCAUGCAUACCUCUAUGACAACCCAAAAUUCAGACAGCAUCAUGUCGCAUAUAAAAGGAAAUAAUCACCUGUAUAAGUUCGAGCACACAUAUAUAUGUAUAUACAAUACUUGGCCGUUGGAGCCAUCACGUCUAUUAACAAAACACCACCUUGACUGUACAUUAGGUCUACAAAGCCUCUAGACAAUACACAGAGUUUAACUAAGGUCGGGACACCCCCCGCCAUAUAACUAACUUCUAUACAAUACCAAAAGUGACUGGAUAUGACACGGAAAGCCCCGAAGCAAACUGGAGCUCACCAAAAGCAGCUGGGUAUCCUGGCUCCUAUUUGUAUGGUGCAUGAGCUGAGGUACCUGUGCCUGCAGCAUGAAAUGCAGGUCCCCCGUGGGGGACGUCAGUACGAAAUAUGUACUGAGUAUGUAAAGCUGUAGAUAAUCACAUAUGAUAUAGGAGCUCAAUAGAAAUCAGAAACAAGUGAAUAAAUCGUAAUAGGAGUGGACCACACUUACUAGAACUUGUGACAACCUGUACAUUGUAUUUAUUCAAUCACUUUACCUUCGUUCUUAUCAUCUUUGUAAUCAUUACUGUACUGUACUGUGACUAUUAGGCUGCCUCCAGUACAUAUCAACUGGGAUCGACCCAUGCUACGCUUAUGCCCCUGGGAUACCACCC